rnacentral:lncRNA from 1 species
ACGAUUGGCGUACAGAUACAGACAGAGGUGGGUCGACAGACAGUGUUUUAAGAAGAUAACAGAGGUUAGGGGGCGUACAGAUCAGAGAGGGAGAGGUGAAAACUUACCACACAGCGAAGGGGAGAUGUUCACGCAGAGAGGUGGGUCGACAGACAGUGUUACAGUGCACGCAGAGACACAGAAUGCAGAUAUAUUUCUGCCUGCUGUUACGGUGCCAUUACUAUUACAAUCUCCGAAAUGGGCUUUCGCCCCGCUUUAUAGAUAAAGCAUAAGUCCAUACAACCACAUCUCAGGUACAGUCAGUAAGAAAGGAGAAAACGCUAGGGCCACAGCACAAAGAAGCCCAAAAGAAAGGAAAAAACAAAGGCCUCCAGGGGCAAGCUAAGUAGCAGACGAGCGGUCGGAGAGCCGGCGCGCAGAAGACACCAGGGCGUCCAAGAGAAGCUGAAGACGAUCACGAUCCCUCGGCCUAGCGAGCGGAUGGCAGUGCUGCAGGAAGGCAAGAAAUUUGAAGAACGAGUCAAAAGCACGCCGCGGGAACACCCGCUCAAUCACCAUCUUAUUGCGGGUAGUCCAGAGAGUCCACAUCAUAGCCGCGAAGAUAAACCAGAACAGUCGGCGCUUACGGCCAACCUGGGUGGCCCUAACCUGCAGAAACCCUGCGAGGUCAGUGGCCUCCCACUCCGGCCCAAGAGCCUCACGAACAAAGCACCAAAGUGCCUGCGCUGCUAUGCACGAGAAAAGAAUGUGUGUUCCCGUUUCCGGGACAUGGCACAAAGGGCACAGUCCAUUGCCCGGACCAUGGCGCUUCAGCACCUCGGUCCCUGAAGGGAGACGAUCUCGAAGAAGCUACCAAACAAAAAUCUUGAUCUUCAAAGGUAGCGGUGCCUUCCACAAUGGGGAUAGCCACGGUAGAAUCGGCAGCCUACAUAAUGCCUGAUAAGCCGAACUAACGGAGAAAUCGCCCGAAGGCGAAAGGCUCCACGACACCGAAUCAAGGUCCAGGGACAGAGGAAGAGGGACUACUUCCCUCAGGUCUGCCCAUUCCCUGACCUCAGCAGGUCCGAAGGAGCGGCGGAACGCAAUGUUCCAUCCGUCCUCCAGAGCCGCCUCAGAGACUAGAAUGCCCGGGUCCGCACAGAUCGCAAAGAGACGCGGGAACCGUAGGCGGAGAAGCUCGCCCUGAAGCCAGGGGUCCAACCAAAAUUGGGUCCCUGACCCAUUGCCAACCGAGAAGCGCACACCCAACCUAAUCUCUUCCUUGAUGGCCUGAAUAGAUUUCCAGAAUUGAGAACCAGCCGACUGAGAACACGCCAAGAGGGGCUGGCCCUGCAAGUAUUUGGCCUCAACCAGCUGCAACCACAGCCCCCCAUCUCCCCGCAAGAUCCGCCAAACCCAACAUAGCAUGAGCGCCACGUUCAUCCGGCGGGAUGCGGGUAUGCCCAACCCACCUCGGUCCUUAGGCAUACAGAUGUCAGCCCACUUGACCAUGUGGUACUUGGGCCGACCGUCCCCUGCCUGCCAAAAGAACCUAGCCAGCUCCUUGUCGAAGGAGCUAUGUACACCUUCAGGUAAGAUGUACAUCCCCAUCAUAUACAUGGGGAGGCUGGCAAGGUUAGAGCUAAUGAGGAUAGUUUUGCUGCCCUUAGAGGUGAACCUACCGCACCAGGGCUCCGCACGGGACGCUACUCGCCCCACUAGCGGAUCGUACCCACUCACUGUAAUACUGGACUCGGCCAGGGGUAUCCCCAAGUAAGAUAUGGGGAAUGACGCCAACCUACAGUUGAGAUUAUCUGCGAUCCGAAGCUGCUCAGCCUCAGAAUAGCCAAGUACCACCACCUCGCUCUUAUCAAAGUUAAUCUUAAGUCCAGACAUUUCCUCAAAGCAGAGCAAAAGGAACUUAAGAUUAACAAUGUCAGAGUCCGAACCUUCCACCAUAAUCAUGGUGUCGUCCGCAUACUGCAGNNNNNNNNNNNNNNNNNNNNNNNNNNNNNNNNNNNNNNNNNNNNNNNNNNNNNNNNNNNNNNNNNNNNNNNNNNNNNNNNNNNNNNNNNNNNNNNNNNNNNNNNNNNNNNNNNNNNNNNNNNNNNNNNNNNNNNNNNNNNNNNNNNNNNNNNNNNNNNNNNNNNNNNNNNNNNNNNNNNNNNNNNNNNNNNNNNNNNNNNNNNNNNNNNNNNNNNNNNNNCACCCUUAAGGUGGUCGGCCAACUUGGCCUUAUCUAAGAUGCCCGCAAGGGCAUCAACUGCGAGAUUGAAAAGCAAGGGAGAAACAGGGUCCCCUUGCUUUACUCCUCUGGAUGCCUGGAAAAAGGGUCCCACCUCACCAUUAAUGUUGAUCGCAGUGUUCCCAGAUCUAACCAGUUGCAUGAUCCAGGAACACCACCUCACGUCGAAGCCUCGUCGCUCCAUCACCAACCUCAAAAAGGACCAAUCCAGACGAUCAUACGCCUUCUGGAAGUCCAAUUUGAGGAAAACCCCCUUGAGCCCCUUCGACGCCACCUCGUGAACGAUCUCGUGAAGGGCAAGCAUUCCAUCAUGGAUCCGCCGGCCCUUCAGGAAGGCGGACUGAAGGGGGUGAGCAAUCCUUUCCGCCACCGGUGAUAAACGAGUGGCACAAACCUUUGCAAAGAUUCGCUCCAACACGUUGAUCACCGUGAUCGGUCGGAAUUGGCGGAUAUCCGUCGCCCCAACUACUUUGGGGAUCAGGGAUAUGACACCGAAGUUAAUCCUAGCCAUGUCCAAGGUUCCAAUAUAAAACUCGUGGAACAUGGGCAUAAUGAUCGGGCGCAAGAUCUCCCAGAAUUUCUGAAAGAAGACUACCGGAAGGCCAUCCAGCCCCGGGGCUGAGCAGGCUUUCAUAGAAGCAAUCACCCGUCCCACCUCCUUAGGAGAGAAAGGGAGAGUAAGCUCCGCAUUCUCCGCAUCAGAGACCUGCUCUGCAGGCGGCCAGAAGUCAGCACAGAGGGAGACGCCUCCACGCGGCUCAGCCGAGAACAACUCCUUAUAAAAGGAGUAAAUAUGGGUGGAGAUGUCCUCUGGGCUUUCCAGAAGGACAUCCCCAUCCCAGAGAAAAGGGAUAGCACACUUUCGCCUGCGGCCAUUAGCAAUCGCCUGAAAAUAGGCAGUGUUCGCAUCCCCCUUAAGGAGCUAGUUCCAGCCCCCACGCCGCUGCCAGAAGAGCUCCUCGCUCUUGUAGAUGUCCAUGAGCGAGGCCUCGAGGCCGUAUCUCCUAAGCCAGUCGUCAGGAGACAGGCCCUGCCUAUCAGCAAGGUCAUCCAAAACCUUAAUCUGAUCCAGCAGGGUCCCCUUACGGGAUCGCAGCUCAGCACCAAGGUUCGCCCCCCAUCCCUUCAUGGCCUGACGAGACAAUUUAGCACGGUGAUGCCACACAUCCACAACACAAAACACACGGGGCGGGGACGCGACCGCCUCUAGCCAGCGGUCGCGCACCAACUCAAAGAAGCUCGGCUGCUCCAGCCAAAAAGUCUCAAAGCGGAAACGGCGGGUCCUAGGGGGAGACACAUCGCCCGACGAGAAAAGCAGGGGGGUAUGGUCGGAGCCAAUCCGAGUGACCGCCUUGAGAGAGCACAAUGGGAACAUCACUUCCCACUGAGCCGACACAAAUACCUGAUCCAAAACACUCCGGAUGGGGUCCGCCUGCUUAUUCGUCCACGUGAACCUAGCCCCUACGCGGGCUAUCUCACGGAGCGCAAGGUCCGCAAUGCAGUCGUUAAAUAGACGCAUGCGGACCCGAUCAACAUUAGGCGAGCUUUUAUCAGAAGCCCAUCUAAUGAGGUUGAAGUCCCCGGCCACCACGACCGGGGUGGUGCACCUCUCUACCUUAUUUUUAAGCUCAGCGAGGAAUACGGCAGAGCGAGCAUGCUCCGCAGGACCAUAAACAAAAAUCACCUCCCAACUGAAGUGAACUCGUCGGUCAGUGACAGACAUGCUCAGGAAGAACUCCCCUCGGUUCAUAUCGUCGACCGAGAAAGCAUCCUCCCUGACCCCGAGCAAGAUGCCUCCAGAUUGACCCAUAGCGGGCAGCCACUGCCAGGCAAACUGGUGGCGGGAGAGCCCCUGGAGCUCAUGCAUACUAAAGUCCUGACGAAUCGUCUCCUGAAGUCCCACAAUGUCAAUCUCUUCCUGUCGCAAAUAUUCGAUGAGCUGCCGCUGCCGGCCAGAGAGGCCGAAGCCCCUAAUGUUCCAACGUAGGAGCUUCAUUUAAUAACCUCAGUGGAAUCCCUAGGCCCCGCAAGCGGGGCCAAGCUAGCCCGCCCAUCAAUCGCGGGUCGGGGGGAUGCCUUCACUGAGCGUCCACGUCGCCCCCGCGUAGGGGGGGCGGUGGAAGCCUCCGGCCCGAGGGAAGCGGACCUGGAACUAGACCCACACACCUCUAUCCGGUGUUCAGUGGGGUUGAGACGUGUGGGGGGCGCCCUCGCAAAGCCCUCACCGAGGGGGGAACUGCAAGGGGCGUCUCUGCCCCAGUCUCCAUAGGGGGCGCCUCACCAGCCCUGGUCUCUCUAUGACCAGGGUCAGUGUGCACCGGGGUGCUGGGUUCACCACGCGCAGCACAAGCACGGGCUUCAGCCAACGCCCCAUCGAGCCUCUCCUUGGCGCAAAUAGCAGAAAUCUGCUCAAGAAUGGGCCCCUUCUCGCCACGAAACACAAUGCCACUAUCGGUGGCCACCUCUGCCAGGUGAGACAACGGAGCGAAACCAAGCACAGAAAACCAAGAACCAGAACUAGAAGGAACAGAGGGGAUGGAUGGGGUACCUGAGGACAGGUCGCGAGCUGCAGCCCACAUGGCGGCCUUCUCCGAGAUCGUCGGGACACGGCCAUCCAGGAUGACCCAGGACUGGCUGAGCCUCGCACUCUGACGCGCAGCCACCAGGGGAGAGGACCCACCCCAAAGCUUGGAGCUGGCCGCGGUAGGGGUCACAGCGGCCAGGUCCAAGGGCGGAGGCGGCUCCAGGUCCGGGGCCCCCAAGGCAAGGGAAGGGGGGGACCCCGGCGAACGCGAGUAGCAGACCACCCCUGGCGAGCGCGGCGACGACGAGGGGCGCACCUCCAUCCCCACACUCACCACGUCCUUCUCCACGACCUCUAGGUCAGCCACCUGGGUCGCAACAGGGGGAGGGACGGCCACAGCCACAAACCCACCCCCUGACGCCACCUGAGAGGCCGUUCCAGCAGGACCGGAAGAACCACCAACAAUAGAAACCGGGCUACGCCGCCUAGCAGACGGAGCCGGCGGAAUCACAUCAUCAUCAUCAUCCCCCUCACAAGAAGAGCUCCCAUCGGACGAGCCCCCACCCCCACCCCGCCCUUCAUCCAAGCGCGGCACAGUGGCUGCGGGGGCCGGCCCAAGCAGAUCCUCAGGAACCGGAGACUCGAGCUCGAAGGUCAGGCGCUUCCCCUUAGUGCCGAAGUAGAAGACCAGAGACAGACCGUCAAUCUCUGCCGGAGCGGGGCACAGGAUCUCAAUGCGGGCUGGGCCAUCAUCCUCAAAAGACGCCAAGUCGGCGGUCACCAGCUUGCCCACCGGCUCAGAGAUCGCCUUGAGAAUGUGCGCAAGCUUGCCACCCCGCGGUGCUGACCUGCCACCUCAAGGCAAGCCGUAGACAAGAACCCACACCCUCUCCAGAGGAGGCACAUGAUCAGGCUCCGCAGCAGCUGCACGAACGGAGAUCAGGAGCUUGUUGAUGGGACACCGGAUGACAUCGUGGGAACACACACGAAGCAGCUCAGCAGAGGGGAAGGGGAUCGAGAAGACGAGGGGAGUCGUCUCAGUCACCUCCCAAGUGAAGUCGGAGUCGCGGAAGUCGCCGAUGUAUGCGACGAGCUUGGCCUGGAUGAGGGCGGCCGAGAUCACCACCCCAGACGGCAAGUCCUGCUCGGGGGCAAGAGUGACCGUCGCCAAGAGCGGCCUAACCGCCUCCUCCUCAAUCUCAGCAUCCACAUAGUAGAAACCACCCCCUCAGUCCCGUACCCAAGGUAAGCAAGGGUCGUGGGGCAUCGGGGAGGGGCCUCACACUCUGAGCGGAAAUGCCCCGCACAGCCACAGUUGAUGCACAUCGUUUCCUUGCGAGUCCUGGGACGGCCAACUCGCGGGGUCUGCUCAGGAGCCACUAGCUCCGAAGCACCAGCCGGAGCGGGACACGCGGCCACCCCAGGGGUCUUCUUCUUCUUGUGCUUCUUCUUCUUCUUUGACUGAACAGCGGCACUGGGCGCCUCAACAGAGCAGCGAGCAGGAGAGGCCCUCGCGGUCACAGAGUCACCCCUCCUCCCUGACUGGCCGCCGUCCCGGUCAGAGCGGCGAUCCACCCGGCGCCCAGGAUCGGGGGAGCGGGAAUCACGAGCCGAGAUAGCCCGGCGCUCACGAGAUGCACGGGCAGAGUCAUCCGCAGGCCGCCCACGACGCCAAUCGCCAUCCGACGCCCGCGGAGAAGGCACCUGCGGUGCCGGCCGCCCCGGCUCCAGAACAGCCCGCGCCCGGUCGGCGGCGGGGGGCCGGGUCUGCAGCUCCGCCAGCAGAUCUGCCUCGCGAGCAAGGUCCUCAUCACGGCGAUGCCCAUCAUCACCAUUGGCGCGACGGCGAGCAGCAUCCUGGCGUCGCAGGUCGCCCGGGGACCCCGGCAGCGGCAGUCGGGCAUCCCGAGAUGGGUCGCAGGGGGGGAGGGUGGCGCAGAGAAGUUCCGGCGUAGGUCGCCGAGGCCCGAGCCGGCCGGACGUUGGAGCGCGAGGAGGACGCCUGGUCCAGAGGCCUCUUCGGCCGCGGCAAUCCGUCGCCGGCAUCCCUGGUCACGAGGGCCUCCAGGUAGGACCGGGGGCGGGGCGGGGGGAUGGGGAGCGACGACCGCGGCGAGGAUGAAGACGGGCCGGUGGAGAAGACCAAGGCGGCCGGAACGGCGGGAGCGCAGGGGGAAGGCGGCGGCUGCGAGGUAACAGGGAGGAGGAGACAAGCGCACCGUCCAGCCCUAGCGACAUCUAAACGGGUCGCAGGCCAUCUGUGCGACACGUCUCCAGCGCCACGCUGGAUCCACACCCAACGGGCCGGGUCCGCGUGGGACAGCAACCAGGCCCGGUUGGCCCGGUCAAUAACGGCCUGGGACUGGACAGCCGCGCAGCGGGCCACCGGGUCAGCCCAGAUGGCCCUCCGUGAGGAACCAGGCCCAGAACGGCGCAGGCCCUCCCACGCUCCCCCGGGCCGGCCCACCAUGCGAGCGCUAGCUGGCCCACGUAGGAGCACGGCCCGAUCCGGACCCGACCAGGGGGCAAACCCCUCCCGCAGCGCCGCCGGCGCCAUCGCCGGAGCGGCCUUCCCGGACCCCGCACCAGACCCGGCAGAGCUACCAGGCUCCGCCAGGACCAGGCGACGGUCGGAGACGGCGGCCACCGCGACCACAGGAACCGGCAGAUCCGCACGGGACGCCGGCCCAGAUAGGGGCGGGCGAGCCACGGGACGCGCCGGCGGCGGCCGCAAGGGGCGGGGACGGCCGGAGAGGCGACGAGGACUGACGCGCGCGGGCCGGGCCGCCACCCAGAAGUCUCCGAAGAGCGGCGGAGCCAGCUUCACCGGACGCUCGACCGGUCCGACGUCCAUGGCCUCCUCAUCCGCGAGAUCCACCCAGGAGAACGCCGACGACGCGAAGGACAGGGACGGCCCCUGGGGAGCAACCAACUCCGGGUGUGGCGCAGCCGAGACCGCCGACCCGCCGGCCGCCGGGGCGGCGCCGGCGAGGUUAGCCAUGGGCGGCCCGACGGCGAAGUUUGAAUCGCCAAGCGGACAUGAGCGCUCCACCGAAGUAAGAAUGUUCGAGGAUGUGUAUCCUAGCAUGGGAACAGAGGUGCCGCAACCGUAGCGUAGUCUUACUAUUACAAUCUGGAGCCGUGAGUGCGGUGCGGCCGCAUUUUGGCAUCUUGCUUGCCCCUUGUUUUUUCUUUUCUUUUUUGACUGAGGGUAUUUGCCCAGGCAGCAGCAGCCAGCACCAAACAAGGGCCACUGUACUACAGACUGGACUAGAGAGAGACGAGGAAUCCACGCGCGCCGACCCGG